CAUGUCCUUUUGAUUAUGAUUUAAGGUCUGAUCUGCUCAAUGAGUAGUUAAAUUGCCGCAGUAUUUUGACUGUGCAAAGGUAGCAUAAUAAUUAGCUUCUUGAUUAGGAGCUGGAAUGAAUGAUUGGACGAGAAAAUUACUGUCUCUUUUUAAAUUUUUAUUGAAUUUUAUUUUUAAGUUAAAAAGCUUAAAUUUUUAUAAAAGACGAGAAGACCCUAUAGAGUUUGAUGAUUUUGUUAAAUUGAUUUUUAGAAAGUUUUUUUUAAUUAAAUCAUUUAGUUGGGGUGACUAAAAGAUUGAAAAAAUUCUUUUUAUUUUUUUAUUGAUGAUUAUUAAUUUAUGUUUGUAAUUUUUUUAAGUUAAAAGUAAAUUACCUUAGGGAUAACAGCGUUAUUUUUCUUUAAAGUUCUUAUUAAAAGGAAAUUUUGCGACCUCGAUGUUGGAUUAAAAUUAAUUUUUGGUGCAGUAACUGAAAAAUUAGGUCUGUUCGACCUUUAAAAUUUUACAUGAUCUGAGUUUAGACCGGCGUGAGCCAGGUUGGAUUCUAUCUUUAGAAAUAUAAAAUAUUUUAGUACGAAAGGACCAAAUAUUUAUUUUAUUAAAUUG
rnacentral:rRNA from 1 species